GACGAACGCUGGCGGCGUGCCUAAUACAUGCAAGUUGAGCGCUGAAGGUUGGUACUUGUACCAACUGGAUGAGCAGCGAACGGGUGAGUAACGCGUGGGGAAUCUGCCUUUGAGCGGGGGACAACAUUUGGAAACGAAUGCUAAUACCGCAUAAAAACUUUAAACACAAGUUUUAAGUUUGAAAGAUGCAAUUGCAUCACUCAAAGAUGAUCCCGCGUUGUAUUAGCUAGUUGGUGAGGUAAAGGCUCACCAAGGCGAUGAUACAUAGCCGACCUGAGAGGGUGAUCGGCCACAUUGGGACUGAGACACGGCCCAAACGCCUACGGGAGGCAGCAGUAGGGAAUCUUCGGCAAUGGACGAAAGUCUGACCGAGCAACGCCGCGGGAGUGAAGAAGGUUUUCGGAUCGUAAAACUCUGUUGGUAGAGAAGAACGUUGGUGAGAGUGGAAAGCUCAUCAAGUGACGGUAACUACCCAGAAAGGGACGGCUAACUACGUG
rnacentral:rRNA from 1 species